rnacentral:rRNA from 1 species
GACGAACGCUGGCGGCGUGCUUAACACAUGCAAGUCGAACGCUGAAGCUUGGUGCUUGCACUGGGUGGAUGUGUAGCGAACGGGUGAGUAAUACGUGAGUAACCUGCCCUUGACUCUGGGAUAAGCCUGGGAAACUGGGUCUAAUACUGGAUACGACAUGUCACCGCAUGGUGGUGUGUGGAAAGGGUUUUACUGGUUUUGGAUGGGCUCACGGCCUAUCAGCUUGUUGGUGGGGUAAUGGCUCACCAAGGCGACGACGGGUAGCCGGCCUGAGAGGGUGACCGGCCACACUGGGACUGAGACACGGCCCAGACUCCUACGGGAGGCAGCAGUGGGGAAUAUUGCACAAUGGGCGGAAGCCUGAUGCAGCGACGCCGCGUGAGGGAUGACGGCCUUCGGGUUGUAAACCUCUUUCAGCACGGAAGAAGCGAAAGUGACGGUACGUGCAGAAGAAGCGCCGGCUAACUACGUG